GGAUGUGGCUCAAUGGUAAAUUGCUUGCCUGGCAAGCAUGAGGGUCUGUGUUCAAAUCUCCAAGCACCA
rnacentral:tRNA from 1 species